rnacentral:rRNA from 1 species
UUUUGGACAAUGGGGGAAACACUGAACCAGCAAUCCCGCGUGUAUGAUGAAGGCCUUCGGGUUGUAAAGUACUUGUGGCGUAGAAGAAAAGGUAUACCCUAAUACGGGAUACUGCAGACGCUAACUGCAGAAUAAGCAUCGGCUAAAUACGGGCCAGCAGCCGCGGUAAUACGUAGGGUGCACGCGUUAAUCGGAAUUACUGGGCGUAAAGCGUGUGUAGGCGGUUCGGAAAGAAAGAUGUGAAAUCCCAGGGCUCAACCUUGGAACUGCAUUUUUAACUGCCGAGCUAGAGUAUGUCAGAGGGGGGUAGAAUUCCACGUGUAGCAGUGAAAUGCGUAGAUAUGUGGAGGAAUACCGAUGGCGAAGGCAGCCCCCUGGGAUAAUACUGACGCUCAGACACGAAAGCGUGGGGAGCAAACAGG